rnacentral:rRNA from 1 species
AUUGAACGCUGGCGGCAGGCCUAACACAUGCAAGUCGAGCGGAUGAAGAGAGCUUGCUCUCUGAUUCAGCGGCGGACGGGUGAGUAAUGCCUAGGAAUCUGCCUGGUAGUGGGGGACAACGUUUCGAAAGGAACGCUAAUACCGCAUACGUCCUACGGGAGAAAGCAGGGGACCUUCGGGCCUUGCGCUAUCAGAUGAGCCUAGGUCGGAUUAGCUAGUUGGUGAGGUAAUGGCUCACCAAGGCGACGAUCCGUAACUGGUCUGAGAGGAUGAUCAGUCACACUGGAACUGAGACACGGUCCAGACUCCUACGGGAGGCAGCAGUGGGGAAUAUUGGACAAUGGGCGAAAGCCUGAUCCAGCCAUGCCGCGUGUGUGAAGAAGGUCUUCGGAUUGUAAAGCACUUUAAGUUGGGAGGAAGGGCAUUAACCUAAUACGUUAGUGUUUUGACGUACCGACAG